GAAAGGAACUUUGCACAGACAAGCAUCAGAAAGCACAGUGUCCCCAGAGGAGCAAGCCUGUGACUCUGUGGACGAGGAAGGGGCAGCUGAUGGCAGUGCUUGAGGAACUUGUGGAGGAGAGUCUCCUGCUGCUGCCUGAAGAUCAAGAUGUAGAAAUGUUGGCUCCUCUAGAACCAUGCCUGCCUGGAUGCUGCCAUGCUUCCCACCAUGAUGAUGAUGGACUGAACCUCUGAAACUGACUGUCUAUGCAAACUCUUAACAACCCUAAUGGAUGGAAAUAAGAAAAGGAUUUCCAGGUUUUAAUACUACACAGUUCGAAACAAAAUGGAAAAUGGAUAGUUAUUCUGAAUGCAAUUCAAUAUAAUUUCUACUCAAAACGUUUUGCAAGGACUCCUGGGUAUGGACAAGAGGAAAGACCAGUUGGAAAAGCUUUCCCCUCUCCUAUGUUUUUGCAGAAUGUGAACAACGCUCAACAAAAUCACCCAGAUCUUUUCCUAUUCAAAUUGAGAAUGACUGGAAAUGUCACCUUGUGGGAUUUUCCACAGUCUGUUCAUAGCAGACAUUAGGUACAGAGAGCCUCACAUGCUGCUACAAAAGAGGACUGCUGGACUGGAAAGUCACACAGCGGUCCUUGAGAAAGGGACUGCAUCAGGUUCCACUCCGGAAGUGGAACUGUGAACUGCGGAAGUGCGAAAGAACUGCAUCCUGGAUCCAGUAGAAUCUACUUGGAUGGCAGUUCCGAGGACCACUUCAUGGUAUGGACCCUUCACAGGGCUACACUUCUGAGGUUCCCAACAGCAUCUGGUGCACUCGCAAUGGCUUUUUAUAUCAGUUCAUAGCUACCCAUCAGAGAGAUUGUAGAAUCAUCUAACCUGAUGUGUUGUGGGAUCUUCUGCAUCUCAUCGAACUCAACUACCAACCAUGAAGCUUUCCCAGAGGCCAUUCUUUCUACUCCUGCCUUCCUGGCCCACAAUACUCCCACGGAAGAGAUCUGUUCACCUUUCCAGAUAUAUUGUCCAUGUGUUAAUUCUCUUUCAGGGAUGUUAUUGUCCCUCCUCAGGGUUGUAUCUGCUUCUCAGGGAACUACAUCAGUCUAAACACCAAUUAUCAAUGCAGUUCAAAUUUUUACCUAUGAAGAAGCUCCUCACCCAGGGUGAAUUAGUGGGAGCACGGCAAGGUGUUUGCAGAAGGAUUUACUAACACAAGGCCUAGCAGAACGCCUUUGCAUCACGUAGUGACUGCACUAAAACAGUCUGUUGUCAUUCUCCCUUCACCGUGCUGUGAAUAUCUAGAUGGUGAGAAUUAUAUCAGAUUCACAUUUAUGUCAUGAGUGUAUAGUGAGGCAACAGUUAUGUUUGGAGGCAUUGAACACAAAGUCACUGAGUUUCAUUGAUCUUUUAAAACCAGAACUCUUCUAGUAGAAGACUUCGGGUGGGGGUAGACUAUUCUGCCUCUCAGGGUGAUCCUUCAAGGCCUUUAUUUGCUAGGUCAUUGUUCAGAAAACAAGAUAAAAUCCUACAGACCUUUUCUUAGCAUUUAGAAUCUGUAUGUAGAUUUCAUAUACUUGUCCCCACAGCCUAUUCUGGUCCUAGUUGGUAGCAAUAAGCACUGACAUUCUUGGAAAUGCAGUUUGGCUAAGAAUGUUUUAUCAGUUUUUGUGACCAUAUUAUAAUAAGAAAAUGGGCAUGACUGGAUUUACUGUCAGCUGAAAGAUGUGUGUUUGAUAUAUAUUUGAUCAUGAAAGACUAAUAUGUUGUGGCAGCAAAUGUAGUUUAAUGAUACUUUUAAAAAUUUAAGAUUUCAAUGUCAGAGAAGCAAACUGGAAACUCAAUAUGUAUGCACUCUGUGCCUUUUGUCUUCUUGUAAGAAUCUGUCAAUUAUCUUACCCCAAAUAAAAGUCUACUGCACUAAAACCCACUUGACAGAAACAUAAAUAAUGGCAUAAUUACAAAUAAAUUCUGAAAUUAGUUUACAUUUUUAAAUGUGCAGGUCAGGAUACGUAUAGAAAAGUGUAAACAUGUAGACAUUAUUACUUCAUUGUCUAUGAUUAUUUCCAGUAAAUUAGUUUAUAAAUUCCAGAUUCUUUUUAACUCAAUGGCAUGAAAUAAUGUGAAUAAAUACCUGGCUUUCAGAAGG
rnacentral:lncRNA from 1 species